AUUGAACGCUGGCGGCAGGCCUAACACAUGCAAGUCGAACGAGUGGCGGACGGGUGAGUAAUGUCUGGGAAACUGCCUGAUGGAGGGGGAUAACUACUGGAAACGGUAGCUAAUACCGCAUACCAUCAUAUGUCCACAGAUGGGAUUAGCUAGUUGGUGGGGUAACGGCUCACCACGGCCACGAUCCCUAGCUGGUCUACGAGGAUGAACAGCCAAACUGGAACUGAGAAACGGUCAAGACUCCUACGGGAGGAAGCAGUGGGGAAGAUUGCACAAUGGGCGCAAGCCUGAUGCAGCCAUGCCGCGUGUAUGAAGAAGGCCUUAGGGUUGUAAAGUACUUUCAGCGGGGAGGCGUUACCCGCAGAAGAAGCACCGGCGAACUCCGUGCCAGCAGCCGCGGUAAUC
rnacentral:rRNA from 1 species